rnacentral:rRNA from 1 species
AUGUAUCCGAGGGAACUCGCCUUCUCCCGCCGCUCGUCCUGGCUGCCACCGUCUGCCGGGCGGCACUGGUCGGACUCCCUGCCCGCACCUUCCCAUGUGCCGGUGGCGGAAGGCAUGACGCCGAAGCUGUACUCGCCGCUCGCAUGCAAUGGCGGCCUCGUCCUUGUGUGCCGAGGCCUCCCGUCGGAGAUGUUCGUGUGCAACCCAUUCACCGGCUUCAGCGCCUCCAUACCCCGCCUUGGCGAGCUUGUCACACACGAGUACCUCUUGCACUCAUGCCAUGGCGCAGAGCCAAACCCUAGCACCAACACGUUCCAAGUGCUUGCCGUGAAAAUAGAGCACAAUGGCAUACUGGUCCUUCAAAACUACUGCUCGAAGAGUGGCACUUGGGGCCCUGUCUUUCGUCCCAACGGCAGCAGGCUCCGGAUGCCCUACCGUGAUUACCGUGCCGCCCCAGUAUUGUGCCGGGGUGCCAUCCAUUGGUUGUGCAGCGACGUGUCAGAUUACGACUCAUCACCAUACGGACAAUCAUGCUUCGACAAGAUCACCCGUAUAGUCGCAGUGGACAUAAGCACAGGCCAGGCAAGAAUGACAAGGCUACCGAAUCACUUGUUGACGCGCAAUAAUGAAGUAUCGACCAAGAAAAUGCUAAUGUUGGCUACGUCGUCCGAGGGUGAACGGCUAUCUUUGCUACGAACAAAGAAAUCAGGAUUGGAGGUAUCAAUCUGGUUGUAUGCCGGAGAUCAUGGCGGCGAAGACGACGACGACGCAGAGAAGAGCUGGAUGUUGUCGCGAUCUGUCGACAUUCGGAAGCUCAUCGAGGAUGCAGGCCUGGCAUAUUUCCGACCAUCGUGCAAAGAUUGGGCAGUGUUGGAAACAAGGUUAGAGUGGUUUUGCCCCAGGAGCAACUGUUUGAUAAUCUGGGUUCCUUUCCUUGGAUUGUUUGUUCUUGAUCUAGUGAGCACGGAGAUACAAAGAGCCGAAGGAGAUAGCCAUGGACACAUCUGGCCUUAUGAGAUAGACUUGACGCUUUCCUUCUCCUCCAUGAAACCCUUCUAG